rnacentral:rRNA from 1 species
GCUAGCGGCAGGCCUAAUACAUGCAAGUCGAACGGUGGCAGCAAUGUCAUAGUGGCGCACGGGUGCGUAACACGUAACUAACCUGCCCAAGACUGGGGGAUAGCCCGCCGAAAGGCGGAUUAAUACCGCAUAACACUUUUGAGUGGCAUCACUUGAUAGUUAAACCUGAGGGGGUCUUGGAUGGGGUUGCGGGUCAUUAGCUAGUUGGUAAGGUAACGGCUUACCAAGGCGACGAUGACUAGGGGAGCUGAGAGGCUGGUCCCCCACACGGGCACUGAGAUACGGGCCCGACUCCUACGGGAGGCAGCAGUAGGGAAUAUUGGGCAAUGGGCGAGAGCCUGACCCAGCCAUGCCGCGUGCAGGAAGAAGGCUUUCUGAGUCGUAAACUGCUUUUGAUAGGGAAGAAUAACCUGUACGUGUACAGGGAUGACGGUACCUACAGAAUAAGCACCGGCUAACUCCGUGCCAGCAGCCGCGGUAAUACGGAGGGUGCGAGCGUUGUCCGGAUUUAUUGGGUUUAAAGGGUGCGUAGGCGGCCCGUUAAGUCCGGGGUGAAAGCCCGUUGCUCAACAACGGAACUGCCCUGGAUACUGGCGGGCUUGAGACUAGUGGAGGUUGGCGGAAUGGACCGAGUAGCGGU